CUCAGCCAAAAAAAGGACUCCUUCGAUUGUCUCCUACCAUCAGUACGCCACACAUGAUCUAUGAAGAAAUAAUCCUAAUGCCGUCGCUGCUCCAUGAAGGGCUGAUCUUCAUGCACGCACAUAUAUUACUCCUACCAUCAGUACGUCAUGAAUCAUCUAGGGAAAGAGAUACGAGGAUAUCCUAAUUAGGUUUGGUGCCAAUGGGCGGACGCUCUCUCCAGCUAAAUCACCCCUCUAAAGUCACUGCCUCCGGAAAUAUUCUGUGGCACGCGUGCCUACAAAGAGGGAUAUAUUGUGGCCGUGGUUCAUCCCCAUUAAUUAGUAGCAGGUUGCAAGUGAAGCAGGAGGCCACGAUUGACUCACAUUCUUUCUUUCGGGUUUCAGUAUUUCAAUUAGACAUUCUUAAUUCAUGUUAGUUAGAAAACUGAUCAAUCCUGUCACCACUUAAUAUAUAUGGAGCGGAAGAGAUAUCAAGACAGACAUAUCAUGUACAUGUAUCUGUCAUAAAUAGUCCCAUAUAGAGUUGUAAGUAUCACGACCACAUGGACAGUUUUCAGCAAUAUAGUUUGCGCUCAUCUGGAAAAUGGCAAAAAGAAACUUGCAUGUAAAUGAGUCAAUAUUUUAUGAAGAUGUCAGGUUGGUAGUCCAGUUUGUUUAUCUGAUAGAAAAAGAGUUGUCAUUGAUGUUUGUUGAAGAUUAUAUGAUCUGUAAGAACCUGUAUAGACUGUGUAAUUUGAUUGCAGAUAUUAUGCUAAUUGUUUGGUCAGAA